rnacentral:rRNA from 1 species
GACGAACGCUGGCGGCGUGCUUAACACAUGCAAGUCGAACGGAAAGGCCCUGCUUGCAGGGUACUCGAGUGGCGAACGGGUGAGUAACACGUGGGUGAUCUGCCCUGCACUUCGGGAUAAGCCUGGGAAACUGGGUCUAAUACCGGAUAGGAGCCAUUUUUAGUGUGAUGGUUGGAAAGUUUUUUCGGUGUAGGAUGAGCUCGCGGCCUAUCAGCUUGUUGGUGGGGUAAUGGCCUACCAAGGCGGCGACGGGUAGCCGGCCUGAGAGGGUGGACGGCCACCUUGGGACUGAGAUACGGCCCAGACUCCUACGGGAGGCAGCAGUGGGGAAUAUUGCACAAUGGGCGCAAGCCUGAUGCAGCGACGCCGCGUGGGGAUGACGGCCUUCGGGUUGUAAACUCCUUUCGCUAGGGACGAAGCUUUUUGUGACGGUACCUAGAUAAGAAGCACCGGCUAACUACGUG